rnacentral:rRNA from 1 species
UACGAAGGGGGCUAGCGUUGCUCGGAAUGACUGGGCGUAAAGGGCGCGUAGGCGGAUGGCAUAGUCAGAUGUGAAAUUCCCGGGCUUAACCUGGGGACUGCAUUUGAUACGUGUCGUCUUGAGUUCGGAAGAGGGUCGUGGAAUUCCCAGUGUAGAGGUGAAAUUCGUAGAUAUCAGGAGGAACACCAGUGGCGAAGGCGGCUUUCUGGACGGUAACUGACGCUGAGACGCGAAAGCGUGGGGAGCAAACAGG